rnacentral:rRNA from 1 species
UAGGGAAUCUUCGGCAAUGGACGGAAGUCUGACCGAGCAACGCCGCGUGAGUGAAGAAGGUUUUCGGAUCGUAAAGCUCUGUUGUAAGAGAAGAACGAGUGUGAGAGUAGAAAGUUCACACUGUGACGGUAUCUUACCAGAAAGGGACGGCUAACUACGUGCCAGCAGCCGCGGUAAUACGUAGGUCCCGAGCGUUGUCCGGAUUUAUUGGGCGUAAAGCGAGCGCAGGCGGUUAGAUAAGUCUGAAGUUAAAGGCUGUGGCUUAACCAUAGUACGCUUUGGAAACUGUUUAACUUGAGUGCAAGAGGGGAGAGUGGAAUUCCAUGUGUAGCGGUGAAAUGCGUAGAUAUAUGGAGGAACACCGGUGGCGAAAGCGGCUCUCUGGCUUGUAACUGACGCUGAGGCUCGAAAGCGUGGGGAGCAAACAGGAUUAGAUACCCUGGUAGUCCACGCUGUAAACGAUGAGUGCUAGGUGUUAGACCCUUUCCGGGGUUUAGUGCCGUAGCUAACGCAUUAAGCACUCCGCCUGGGGAGUACGACCGCAAGGUUG